UAGGUCUGGGGUACUGGAAGGUCCCCAGGCCGAAAGGGCGUAAGCCGCCCGAGGAUGGGCCGGCGGCCGAUUAGGUAGUUGGUGGGGUAACGGCCCACCAAGCCGAAGAUCGGUACGGGCCAUGAGAGUGGGAGCCCGGAGAUGGACACUGAGACACGGGUCCAGGCCCUACGGGGCGCAGCAGGCGCGAAACCUCCGCAAUGCGGGCAACCGCGACGGGGGGACCCCCAGUGCCGUGGCACAGCCACGGCUUUUCCGGAGUGUAAAAAGCUCCGGGAAUAAGGGCUGGGCAAGGCCGGUGGCAGCCGCCGCGGUAAUACCGGCGGCCCAAGUGGUGGCCGCUAUUAUUGGCCUAAAGCGUC
rnacentral:rRNA from 1 species